AAAGAAACCAACAGGGAUUGCCCUAGUAACGGCGAGUGAAGCGGCAACAGCUCAAAUUUGAAAUCUGGCCCUCGGGUCCGAGUUGUAAUUUGUAGAGGAUGCUUUUGGUGAGGUGCCUUCCGAGUUCCCUGGAACGGGACGCCAUAGAGGGUGAGAGCCCCGUCUGGUUGGACACCGAGCCUCUGUAAAGCUCCUUCGACGAGUCGAGUAGUUUGGGAAUGCUGCUCUAAAUGGGAGGUAUAUGUCUUCUAAAGCUAAAUACCGGCCAGAGACCGAUAGCGCACAAGUAGAGUGAUCGAAAGAUGAAAAGCACUUUGAAAAGAGAGUUAAAAAGUACGUGAAAUUGUUGAAAGGGAAGCGCUUAUGACCAGACUUGGGCUUGGUUGAUCAUCCUGGGUUCUCCCUGGUGCACUCUUCCAGUUCAGGCCAGCAUCAGUUCGCUGCGGGGGAUAAAAGUUUUGGGAAUGUGGCUCCCUCGGGAGUGUUAUAGCCCAUUGCAUAAUACCCUGCUCCGGACUGAGGUUCGCGCAUCUGCAAGGAUGCUGGCGUAAUGGUCAUCAGCGACCCGUCUUGAAACACGGACCAAGGAGUCGUCUUCGUAUGCGAGUGUUCGGGUGUUAAACCCCUACGCGUAAUGAAAGUGAACGCAGGUGAGAGCUUCGGCGCAUCAUCGACCGAUCCUGAUGUUCUCGGAUGGAUUUGAGUAAGAGCAUACGGGGCCGGACCCGAAAGAAGGUGAACUAUGCCUGUAUAGGGUGAAGCCAGAGGAAACUCUGGUGGAGGCUCGCAGCGGUUCUGACGUGCAAAUCGAUCGUCAAAUAUGGGCAUGGGGCGAAAGACUAAUCGAACCUUCUAGUAGCUGGUUUCCGCCGAAGUUUCCCUCAGGA
rnacentral:rRNA from 2 species